rnacentral:rRNA from 1 species
UACGUAGGGGGCAAGCGUUGUCCGGAAUCAUUGGGCGUAAAGAGCGCGUAGGCGGCCCUGUAAGUCCGCUGUGAAAGUCAAGGGCUCAACCCUUGAAUGCCGGUGGAUACUGCAGGGCUAGAGUCCGGAAGAGGCGAGUGGAAUUCCUGGUGUAGCGGUGAAAUGCGUAGAUAUCAGGAGGAACACCGGUGGUGCAGACGGCUCUCUGGACCGUAACUGACGCUGAGACACGAAAGCGUGGGUAGCAAACAGG